AUACGAGGGGUGCAAGCGUUAAUCGGAAUUACUGGGCGUAAAGCGCUCGUAGGCGGUUUGUUAAGCAAGAUGUGAAAGCCCUGGGCUCAACCUGGGAACUGCAUUUUGAACUGGCAAGCUAGAAUACUGUAGAGGGUGGUGGAAUUUCCAGUGUAGCGGUGAAAUGCGUAGAGAUUGGAAGGAACAUCAGUGGCGAAGGCGGCCACCUGGACAGAUAUUGACGCUGAGGAACGAAAGCGUGGGGAGCGAACAGGAUUAGAUACCCCGGUAGUCC
rnacentral:rRNA from 1 species